rnacentral:rRNA from 1 species
GCUUACGGCCACACCGCCUAGUUCACGCCCGAUCUUGCUUUGAUCUCGGAAGCUAAGAUAGAUUGGGCCUGGUUAGUACUUGGAUGGGAGACCGCCUCGGAAUACCAGGUGCUGUAAGCU